CUUUGAUGCACACUUCUUUGUUGUUGCACUUUCAAACUGUGCAGUCCAUUUUGGUGGGAAGUGCGCAAUAUAUAUAUAUAUACAAGUUAAUCAAAAUAUUUUUAAAUGUCUAGAGUACAACUGAAGGACAAAGGUUUGUCAUAGCAGCCGUUAUUUGCAGAAUUUGAUCGAUAGCUGGACUCCAAUCAAUCUCUCAACAUGAGUUCUUAGUGCAGAUAACUCUUUGGAGGCAACACAGGGACACAGAAGCUUUCACAUUCAUUACUACUUCAUCAAUAAGAAAUCCUCUAUCCGCUAAUAUAAAAUCUCCUUCUUGGAGCUGAUCUAAAAA